GGAGUUUGGACCGUGUCUCAGUUCCAAUGUGGGGGACCUUCCUCUCAGAACCCCUACUGAUCGUUGGCCAGGUGGGCCGUUACCCCGCCUGCAACCUAAUCAGACGCAUCCCCAUCCUGAGGCGAUGAAUCUUUCGUCACGCCCAGAUGCCUUUUCGUGACGGCAUAGGGUAUUAAUCCGGUUUUCACCGGGCUGUCCCCUGCCUCAGGGAAGGUUGGAUACGCGUUACUCACCCGUGCGCCGGUCGCCAUCGGAGAUAGCAAGCUACCUCCAUGCUGCCCCUCGACUUGCAUGUGUUAAGCCUGUAGCUAGCGUUCAUC
rnacentral:rRNA from 1 species